CCACGUCUAGAUUGUCAUCAAAAGUUAGGUUAAAACAUAAAACUUGUCAUAUUAGUGAAAUAAGUUAGAAUUUAACUUGGAAUUGAUAAUAACAGUGACACUAAGUAUAUUAAGUGUUUAGUUUUGUGUUGUGAACGACGCAGACAACUGAAUAAGUAGUUUGUAUGUUUAUAAAUUUGUGACGUGUCAUCCAAUAAAACUACAGUGGACCUAAUAAUGAAAGAACUACGACAAAACGCCAAAUGCCAAAUAUACAAAAAGCUAUUUCCAGACGGGUGAGCGACCCACAGAUAAUAAAACGUCAUAAUCUAACCUGAUCUACAAUGAUGAGCCCCACAAUGCGGGUGACGAAGAAGAAGAAGACUAACCUGAUUUAACCUCUCUAUCGACACGUGGGAAAAGAAUUGUAGGAAAUUAAGAAAAAACACAAUAGAUAUAUGAACAAUCAAUUUUCGAACUAAGAAUUAAUUAAUUUUGAAGAAAGAACUAGAAGCAUAACCUUAAAAUCAACUGGCUAAGAAUAAAUGUACUCAACUAUUCCAGACGAAAAAUUAGAUACAUGUAUCAAAACUAAAGACAAAUCAAACAGAAGUUUUAGCUAGAUUAAAUUCACUGAUAAUUCAGCUGCCAACCUCAGUGAACUGAGUAGCUGGGGCGCAGCUGGACUUAGUAGGUGGCCAGCAUGAAGAAACCAAAUAUUUACUAAGAAGAAAUUGGAAACAAUGCAGAAUUUAAAGAACAUGGAGUCUGAAGAAAUUGAAAAACUAAACAAAAUAUAUAUUAAUUAUAUAAAUAUAUAGAAUUGAUAAUAAAAUGCUCAUCAGAGCAUACAUACUAUCAGAAUAUGAACUAAUAAAGAGAAGUACAAAUGAGAAAAUUUCACCAACAUCAUCCAUCAUUUUCAAUAGUUUUAAAAAGAAGCUGAUGUAAAAUAAACGUGUUCUCUUUGUUUUAAUCAUUAUUCCCUUUCCCAGAAUUGAAUAAUUGGAUUUCUUUUUCCAUUUUACAGGUUCUAAGUAUUUGUAGUUUUCACUUAAGAUUAGGCAGAUAUGGUGGCAGAUUGGUUGUUUUCCUUCUAUAUUAUUUUUGUGACCAUUUUGAGAACCCUAAUUUAUUUAGUGUGUUCAAUGGUGUUUAAGAUUUCGCCAUAACAUCCAACUAUAAGUAUGUCUAGGUGAUUAUUCAGUUCAGUUACUGGGUUACCAUAACUGAUAACUUCUUCUUGACUAGGGAGUUCGUAGCAUAUAUGGUUCUUUUUAACUUUUCUUGACUUUCAUAGUUUUGAAGGAUAUUGGUAUGGAGAACUGUAGGUUGGAAACUUUAUCUUCUCCUUUUCUUUUACUACUAUUUUACCGUAGUGCAUGUUUUUUCCCAUUCCUCUUCUAUUUUGUUCCAUUGGACCUGUUCGACGUGGUGUAUCGCUCUUUGAUACAUCUUUUUGUAAUCAUUUUGUCUGUCUGGUUGUUGGUAGGUAUAAUAUAUUUUUCUAGUAUUCAAUACAAGUUAGUGAUGGAAUUUCUCCAUCCUUUGUCUUUUAGAAUAUUGUAGUCUUCUUUUGGUUUUUUGCAUCUCACGGUGUGACUUAAGAUAUAUUCCUUUUUUGAUGAUCUGCUUUUCUGUUUCAUGUUCUAUUGAUUUUAGUUCCAGUCUUGUAGGUCUGUAAGUCUUUCAGUCAGUUGAACUCUUUCUUUCUUCUUAUUUAUUAUUUUCUUCAAUAGCACCGCAGCUGUUGAGUAGCUGCUCCUGUUAAAUUUGAUAUGUAAUCAAUUUAUGGGAAAACUGGAUAUAAACACGACAUCUGUAAGCUCCGAUAUGGUCUAGUGGCUAGGAUACCUGGCUUUCACCCAGGAGGCUCGGGUUCGAUUCCCGGUAUCGGAAAAACUUUUUAAAUUUUUAAAAACAAAUAUUUUUCUCUUUAAUUUAUUACUAAAUUAUAGAAACAAUAUUAUCACAGUUUUUUCUUCUUUAAAAUAUUGUCGACGUGGAUAUUGUUACUGAUUCUGUCCAUCGGGCAUUCUGAGAAUCCUAUUUUCUUAUAUUUCCUGGAAUAGCAUCCACCCAGUGUAAUAGACAUAAUCUUCGACUAUCUAAGUAUAAAGAAUUAUAAACUAGGAAUUUUAUCUUCUUCCUCUCACCGCCCUUUUUUGAUAUGUUUUCAUGUAGACAUUUGGGAAGUAUUAAUAGCUAUAUUUUUUUAUUAUUUCCUUGUAUUCAAUUCAAUUCAAUUGAAUGUCUUAAUCCUCCUAUUUGUUGUCUCAGGUUUUUACUUGAUAUGUAUCCUCUCUUCCAAUAGUUUUUUAUUAAAAUUUCCACCUUAUAUGUUUUGUUUUUUCUCUGAGUUUCUUUUGUAGGUCUUUCAGUCAGUUGAAUUCCUUUUCUUUCUCCCUAUUUACUAUUUUCUUUAAUAGCACCGCAGCUGCUGAGCAGUUUCUGUUGUUAAAUUUUAUAUAUAAUCAAUUUAUGGGAAAACUGGAGAAAAAUAUUAUAUAGUCUACUUUAUUUACAUAUAUAAUAUACAUUUCAACAUUACAUUAUAUACUGUUAGUUUCACAGGUACAUAAAAUUAUCACAGUUUUUUUAUCCACGUCUCGCUCCUCUUGCUCUUCUUGGCAUUGAAGUUUCUUCAAUUACCUUUCGGGUAUUUUGAUACCCGUUUUCAUUUCGUCCCUUCUGAGUGCGUCCCUGAAGCUGUCUGAUCCAGAUCUGCGGUAAUUUUCCCUUGCCAUUGUCGCUACCACCUUAUAUGUUUUGUUUCCUCUGUAGGUCUCUCAAUCAGUUGAACUCUGGGUCAUAAAACACUGGCUGUGUAAAGUAUUUGGGACCUUUCUUACCAAGGAACGUCAACUUUGCUUGCAUAUCCGCUACGUCCUCGUCAAAGUUUUCCAGGGUGUAAUUUACUGGCAUUAUUUCAUCAGGAUUCACUAGAAUUGGAUUGUUUGGGGCAUCUCUCCAAAUAGCACCUGGUAUUGGAUUCCGACGAUAGAAUCUACGUCGAUACUCGUCUGGUGUGUUCCUAUUACUCAACCGUUCGACAACUUCUCUAAGGUUGGACAGUCUAAUGUUCUCGGACUGUGGUACCAUUCUGCCAUGACGAUCAUUCGCGUCAAUUGCCAUUCUUGGGACAUACAAUUUGUCUCCAACUUUCAACUUGCCAACAGACUUCAACACGUGCGUUAUCUGAUCUGGAAGGACAGUAACUCCUUUCACUGAUGAGAUGAGACUCUCAUCUCUAAUCAAUCUUGCGUAGUCAUCUUCGUUAUUUAAAAUUGUUGUUAUACUUCUUUCACACAUCUUGACCUUCACUUCAAACACCGCAAGUACUAUGCGAUACAUUUGAUAUACGGUGUGGUACAUUGUUAAAUUCAUAAAGUACGUAGAAUAUAUGAGCUGUUCCAAAUCCCAUCGCUCUUGUUGUUACGGUCAGUGUGAAUGCCUUCAACGUGUUUACUGCUUCUAAGCGCUCCAUUGCUGAUUGUCCAGACUUAACACCUGGGAAGAGAGAUUUCUGCAUCAUCUCAUUCAAAUCUUUCAUCGUUUCAGCAUUCCGAGCUUGUCUGGGGCUUACAACUCUUCGUUCUUGGCAUCCUUUGCAGGAGGGCGCUCCUCGCCUCGCUCCUCUUGCUCUUCUUGGCAUUGAAGUUUCUUCUUCAAUUACCUUUCGGGUAUUUUGAUACCCGUUUUCAUUUCGUCCCUUCUGAGUGCGUCCCUGAAGCUGUCUGAUCCAGAUUUGCGGUAAUUAUCUCUUGCCAUUGUCGCUACCACCUUAUAUGUUUUGUUUCCUCUGUAGGUCUUUCAAUCAGUUGAACUCUUUUUCUUUCUCCCUAUUUAUUAUUUUCUUCAAUAGCACCUGUUGAGCAGCUUCUGUUGUUAAAUUUGAUAUAUAAUCAAUUUAUGGGAAAACUGGGAAAAAACACUUUAUCUAUAAGCUCCGAUAUGGUCUACUUUAUUUACAUAUAUAUAACAUACAUUUCAAUAUUACAUUAUAUAAUGUCAUUUUACAGGUAAAUAAAAUUAUCACAGUUCACAAUUGUUGGUUUAUUUAUGACUAGGUUCAGUUAUUGCACACCAUUAUCACAAUAGUUAUCACAGUUUUUCCGUCUGAGUAUGAUGGUUGACGUUGAAACAGCUACCGAGUAGCUGAUCUUGACCAUCAUGUGUUCUGUAGCCUUUUCUGAGAUUCCCAGUCUUUUUAGAAGUCCAAGCAAUGUUUUAAACUCACUGGUGUUUAGGAUUUCUCCAUAGCAUCCAACUACAAGUAUGCCUAGGUGUACAGGACAGUUAUGGAUGUUUUCCAGUUCGGUAACUA